AUAUGUUUUUCCUGUCAUCUGGAUAACUUCUUUUCACUUUAUUCAUGUAUGUUUCCUUAUUAUUUCAGAAAUUUCUUUAUCGAACCUUUACCUCAGAAAAGCCUUGUGAAAUAGAAAGAAGAAAAUGCCAAUUUUAUUUAUUAAGAGAUGGUUAUCUCAAACUUUACCUCAGAAAUGGCAAAGCCUUGUGAAACGAAAGGGAGAAACAAAGACAAAACUUUUGAAAAUUAGCACAGCUUUUUCUGAAGGGACCAGCGCUGAAUUCAAGUCAAAGGGAAGAAAGGGAAGAAACAAAAGGUCGAAGAGACAGAAGACAGAAGAUGCUCGAAGACACUCUCGCAAGGACACCGCCCGCCCCCCAAAAAAGGUCAUUGUCAGGGUAAUGGGUGUCAGGCUAGGCAUUUAAUGUCUAUCUUUGCAAUAAAAAACAGGCUACCUGUGUGCUAGGCUUUUGCAUGAAUAACACGGUUCCCCUCGUGUGUGGCAUCGAAGUUUCCCACUCGGGAACGGACGGGUCCUCCCUUUGUUCUAGGCAGAUGAUGGGGGUUUUCCUAUACAAGCCGUAGGGGCCACAGCUUGGGGGGCAGCGGGGGGCCCGGCCCUGGCACCGCGGGGAGCAGCACACCUUACGGGCAUUUUAAAAGCUCCCUUAAACUUAGACAGUAGCUAGAAAUAAAAAUAUUAAUACCUUAACUCACCUACUAACUCUACUAACACUAUUCUAACUAGGGCAGCCUGGCCUUUUAAAUAGGACUGUGUUUUGCCUGCUGGCAAGAACCAAGCUGGGGGGGGGCCUCCUGGCCCCCAAUAGAAGGGCUCCCAUAGAAGGACAUUUCAAAAUGCCCGCAAGGUGUCCUGAGAGCAGCCCCUGGGGCCCUCAGUGUGCCCCCCACGGUGCCAGGGCUGGGCCCCCCGCUCUCCCCCAACCCAUGACCCCUGCCGCCUGUAUAUCGUCCGUCCAGGGCCAACGGACGCCCCCUCCCUCCCCGGGCGGAGCUUCGGCGCCACACACAAGGGGAGGCCAGCCGUGGCCGCCAGAACAUGGCCAACCUGGUUUUUGACUGCAAACAUAGGCAUGUAGGGACCCCCUUUUAUUUAUGUAAGGCCACCCACCCAGGGGACCUCUGUUCCUAAUUAAAGCCUGGUUAAAGGGGAUCCUCUAUUCUUAAAGUAAGGCCUAUAGAGAUCUCCUAUCCAGAAACUAAGGCGGCCUGGCCUAUAGAGAUCUCUUGUUAAAAUAAGGCGGCCUGGCCUAUAGAGAUCUCUUGUUGUUAAACUAAGGCGGCCUGGCCUAUAGAGAUCUCUUGUUGUUAAACUAAGGCAGCCUGGCCUAUAGAGAUCUCUUGUUGUUAAACUAAGGCGGUCUGGCCUAUUGAGAUCUCCUUUUGUUAAACUAAGGUGGCCUGGCCUAUAGGGAUCUCCUUUUGUUAAACUAAGGCGGCCUGGUCUAUAGGGAUCUCUUGUUGUUAAACUAAGGCGGCCUGGCCUAUAGGGAUCUCUUGUUGUUAAACUAAGGCGGCCUGGCCUAUAGAGAUCUCUUGUUGUUAAACUAAGGCAGCCUGGCCUAUAGGGAUCUCUUGUUGUUAAACUAAGGCGGCCUAGCCUAUAGGGAUCUCCUUUUGUUAAACUAAGGCGGCCUGGCCUAUAGGGAUCUCCUUUUGUUAAACUAAGGUGGCCUGGCCUAUAGGGAUCUCCUUUUGUUAAACUAAGGCGGUCUGGCCUAUAGAGAUCUCUUGUUGUUAAACUAAGGCGGCCUGGCCUAUAGAGAUCUCUUGUUGUUAAACUAAGGCGGUCUGGCCUAUAGAGAUCUCUUGUUAAACUAAGGCGGCCUGGCCUAUAGAGAUUUCUUGUUGUUAAACUAAGGAGGUCUGGCCUAUUGAGAUCUCCUUUUCUUAAACUAAGGUGGCCUGGCCUAUAGGGAUCUCCUUUUGUUAAACUAAGGUGGCCUGGCCUAUAGGGAUCUCCUUUUGUUAAACUAAGGCGGCCUGGCCUAUAGGGAUCUCUUGUUGUUAAACUAAGGCGGCCUAGCCUAUAGGGAUCUCCUUUUGUUAAACUAAGGCGGCCUGGCCUAUAGGGAUCUCCUUUUGUUAAACUAA
rnacentral:lncRNA from 11 species